GCACAUGUGGCGAAAUUGGUAGACGCGGCAGACUCAAAAUCUGCAGAAGUUAAUUCUUCGUAUGGGUUCGAUUCCCUUCAUGUGCA
rnacentral:tRNA from 1 species